UUGAACGCUGGCGGCAGGCCUAACACAUGCAAGUCGAACGGUAACAGGAAGCAGCUUGCUGCUUUGCUGACGAGUGGCGGACGGGUGAGUAAUGUCUGGGAAACUGCCUGAUGGAGGGGGAUAACUACUGGAAACGGUAGCUAAUACCGCAUAACGUCGCAAGACCAAAGAGGGGGACCUUCGGGCCUCUUGCCAUCGGAUGUGCCCAGAUGGGAUUAGCUUGUUGGUGGGGUAACGGCUCACCAAGGCGACGAUCCCUAGCUGGUCUGAGAGGAUGACCAGCCACACUGGAACUGAGACACGGUCCAGACUCCUACGGGAGGCAGCAGUGGGGAAUAUUGCACAAUGGGCGCAAGCCUGAUGCAGCCAUGCCGCGUGUAUGAAGAAGGCCUUCGGGUUGUAAAGUACUUUCAGCGGGGAGGAAGGGAGUAAAGUUAAUACCUUUACUCAUUGACGUUACCCGCAGAAGAAGCACCGGCUAACUCCGUGCCAGCAGCCGCGGUAAUACGGAGGGUGCAAGCGUUAAUCGGAAUUACUGGGCGUAAAGCGCACGCAGGCGGUUUGUUAAGUCAGAUGUGAAAUCCCCGGGCUCAACCUGGGAACUGCAUCUGAUACUGGCAAGCUUGAGUCUCGUAGAGGGGGGUAGAAUUCCAGGUGUAGCGGUGAAAUGCGUAGAGAUCUGGAGGAAUACCGGUGGCGAAGGCGGCCCCCUGGACGAAGACUGACGCUCAGGUGCGAAAGCGUGGGGAGCAAACAGGAUUAGAUACCCUGGUAGUCCACGCCGUAAACGAUGUCGACUUGGAGGUUGUGCCCUUGAGGCGUGGCUUCCGGAGCUAACGCGUUAAGUCGACCGCCUGGGGAGUACGGCCGCAAGGUUAAAACUCAAAUGAAUUGACGGGGGCCCGCACAAGCGGUGGAGCAUGUGGUUUAAUUCGAUGCAACGCGAAGAACCUUACCUGGUCUUGACAUCCACAGAACUUUCCAGAGAUGGAUUGGUGCCUUCGGGAACUGUGAGACAGGUGCUGCAUGGCUGUCGUCAGCUCGUGUUGUGAAAUGUUGGGUUAAGUCCCGCAACGAGCGCAACCCUUAUUGCCAGUUACUACGUAAGAGGACUCUGGCGAGACUGCCGUUGACAAAACGGAGGAAGGUGGGGAUGACGUCAAAUCAUCAUGCCCUUUAUGACCUGGGCUACACACGUACUACAAUGGCGUUAAACAAAGAGAAGCAAGACCGCGAGGUGGAGCAAAACUCAAAAAAGUAGUCUCAGUUCGGAUUGUAGACUGAAAUUCGUCUACAUGAAGCUGGAAUUGCUAGUAAUGGCAGGUCAGCAUACUGCCGUGAAUACGUUCCCGGGCCUUGUACACACCGCCCGUCACACCAUGAGAGUUGGGAAUACCCGAAGCCUGUAAGCUAACGCAAGAGGCAGCAGUCGAAGGUAGAAUCAAUGAUUGGGGUG
rnacentral:rRNA from 1 species